rfam:Acyrthosiphon pisum strain LSR1 Contig1006519, whole genome shotgun sequence.
AAAACGGUCCUUUUCAGGACCAACCAAUCACAGCUCAGAAUGACAG